GCCUCACCCUACCUAACGCCUCCCAUGUCCAUCCCUGUCUUCUACUCCAUUUCUUCCCUUGUCUAAAAAGUAACAGAAGAAGAUUCUGAUGUCUUCCAAGAUGGAUGGGAUGCCCGCUACGAGGAGCCCGAGUGGUCUGACUAUACGGUAGGAUGCCUGGCAAGCUUCUUCGCACACCAGUGUAGGAUGGAAAGAAAUGCGUGUGGCCUCAAGCUGCUGAGACUUAAGAGUUCCUGAGGAAGUUACUACAUAUAUAUGCCCGUUGUUUGGAUCGCUGGAUUUGAUUCAUGCACAGGCUUAUGAACCACUGAGGUACUUCCAGGGGUUUCAAGGCAAAUUUCUCAGCACAGCAAAUUUCUCAGCACAGUCAACGUCCCUUUUAUCCCAUCAUGGCUUCUUCGCCAGUGAGUAUCAUUUCUACAUUGGGAAAUCAGGUCAAGGUGUUUUAUUCAUUGUCUCAGCUGCCAAGUCCCACUUUUAGUUAUCGCCCCUGCUCAUUGUUAUACAUGCUGUCCAGAAGCUCUUCCCGGCUGUACCCCGGCUCUUCACACACUGUUUUGGAAACCUGCCGUGUUCUAUCCCAACACCAACAGACGGCGAGUAUCAAGGGAAGGGAAGAAAGGGGGGAGAGAAGUGGGUGGGGGAACCACCCCUGUCCCCAGAGGGAGAAGCUAGAGCAAGCAGGCAGAGAGGGAGGGGGAAAGCUAGCUCCAACAGAAACAUUUUCUCCGAGAGCUAGAAAAAAAAAAAAAAAAAAGAAUUUUCUGAAGUUAUCAGCCCCAGGACAGUCAGUCUUUGAGAUACUUUCAAAAGGGGAGUUUCCUAGCUCUUGUGAUAAGGGAGGCUGGCAGGACUAGUGUUAGGGCUCCUAGAGGCUAAUUUGAGCCACUGGACUUAACAGAGAGCUCCAGGGAUGGAAGCCAGAGAGCUUCCAGCUAAGUCAGCACACGGGCGGAAACUGAACUCGUCUGUUCAUGGAAGGGAAGCCUGCAC
rnacentral:lncRNA from 1 species